rnacentral:autocatalytically_spliced_intron from 1 species
GCUCGUCGUAUGCGGGAAAUCCGCAGGUACGAUGGGAACAUCAAU